rnacentral:lncRNA from 1 species
UCAAAGAGAAUACAAAUAGUGAGUGGUGUUCCACAGAGCAAUGUCUUGGGACCACUGCUUUUCAUAAUGGCCCUCAGCUGCCCGGAAAGCCACCCUUGCUAGCUACACAGAUGAUACAAAAGUCUCACAAAAAAUACAAAACCUUAGCAAUGCUGCACGCCUGGAGCAGGGGUCGGACGCAAUUUGCAGAUGUGCUGAGGAUAAUGAUAUGCAGUUUAAUGCUGGAAAAUUCCAAGCCCUGUGCUAUCAGCACCCAAAAUUGAAUGAAAAACAGAGUACACUGGGCCAAGGGGGAUUACAAUCCCAGAACCUAAAUCAGUGCGUGACAAUAUCGCUUUCCAAGUGCACAUUAACAAGAUAGCAACAAGGUGUAGAUGGCUGGCUGGAUGUUGAGAGCCUUCAGAACCGCAGAGAAGGAAACCAGGACGGUCGUUCUCAGCCGCCUGGACUACAGCUCCUAAUUGUGGUCAGCUCACAGUGUAAGAGUGGACCCUGAAGCAGUCCAGUAAAGCUACACAAAGAAGAUUGUCUCAUUGCAACAGCUCAGCUACUGAGAAAGGCCGAAACAGCUAAGAUUCUACUCCCUGGAGUGAUGGUGGGAGAGAGAUGCAGUAGUAGACAUCUGGAAGGGAUUGUACCAAAUUUUGGCAUUGCAAGCUACACAAAUGCCAGAAUGUGCCGAAGACCCCAACACUGCCGUCACACUUCAGGACCAGUUACUGCAACAACCUUUCUUUCAUUAUUUUAUCACAUUGUUUGCCCCCAACAAAUUCCUUUAUAAUCCAAACCUUACACUAUCUGAAGCAUAUAUACAUAUAUAUAGAAAAUUUUGUGAAGAAACAGAACCGAUAUGAGAAUUUUUAGAAAUUCCUCACCCCAUCCUUCGGAAAUUUAAGGACUUUAUUCUCUCCUUCCUAACAUUACUGAAAAUUUGAAAAAAAUAUUGAAGAAACUGAGAUGGAGAGAAUUGGAUGAAGAAAAUCAGUGAAGCAAAUCUAGCCAGUCAGUAGAGCCAUCUCGUGGAGAAUCGGAGGGGGGGGGGGGAGAAUCGUAUAAAGGGGAAUAACUUUUACAGCAGUGGAAAAUGGAAAUAUUAAUUGUGAUUUAAUAUCGGGCACCGAUAAAUAAGAAUACGCAAUGACGGGGAGAAAAGAAAUCAUAACUGAAGAUGGGUGAUUUCCCUUGAUUGGGAUCACGGAGCAAAUUCGGAUUAUCACCCUUCAACUCUGUUUUAUUCCCCCAGCAAUUUUGGAACACUUGAUUUAGUUCACUUGAAGGCGCUUCUAAUUAUAUAACCAACACUAGAGCAGUUACCUGUCAUCUUACAUAAUACGUCAUGUUUGGUCCGUAACAGUUGCACUGUAUUUUGUGUGUGUGCACAUUUAAAGUUACUCUGUUCAAAGAUGCUUUCUGCAUUUUAACGACACCAGCAUUUUGUGUGUAAACAUCCCGACAUAAAAUAAAAUUAUUUAUGAAACGAAG